GAAUUUUGGGCAAUGGGCGAAAGCCUGACCCAGCAACGCCGCGUGAAGGAUGAAAUCCCUCGGGAUGUAAACUUCGCACGAACGGGAAGAAUAAGUAGGGGACAAUACCCCCUAUGAUGACGGUACCGUUUGUAAGCUACGGCUAACUCCGUGCCAGCAGCCGCGGUAAUACGGGGGGAGCAAGCGUUGUUCGUAUUUAGUGGGCGUAAAGGGCGCGUAGGCGGUCAGCACAAGUCAGUUGUGAAAUCUCCGAGCUUAACUCGGAAAGGUCAACUGAUGCUGUGCGACUAGAGUGCAGAAGGGGCAACUGGAAUGCUCGGUGUAGCGGUGAAAUGCGUAGAUAUCGAGAGGAACACCUGCGGCGAAGGCGGGUUGCUGGGCUGACACUGACGCUGAGGCGCGAAAGCUAGGGGAGCGAACGGG
rnacentral:rRNA from 1 species